GAGAGAGGUAAAUGAAGGGGGAAGAAAAAGAAGUGUAGCAAGGUACUUUGGAAGACCUGGAGCGCAAGGGAAAUAUAAAGAUAAAAACAAGGGAAAUUCAAGAAGCACGAAGAAGCUUACAAGCUUAGGUACUUGAAGAAGGAAUCGAGGACGUCGGGCCGAAUCUCGUAUAUAAUAAAAAGAAGGGGAAAGCACUCGCUGACAAUUGAAAAUAUCGGCAAAGAUUAACGGGAGCUGAGUGGGGAAGGAACCAGGCUAAAUAAGGAUCAAGGUAGUGUAAUAGAUCUAGAGCUAUGUAAAUCUAUGCAAGGAAAUUUUGUAUCAAGCACUUAAGUGUGUACUUAAAUCUAUUGGUAUUAUGGUGUAUGUUUGUGGAAUAAAAUACUUUUGUGUAUCGAAGUUAGAUAAUGGUAUUCCGAUAAUAAAGGCUUACGGUACGAUA